AUUGAACGCUGGCGGCAUGCCUAACACAUGCAAGUCGAACGGCAGCACAGAGGAGCUUGCUCCUUGGGUGGCGAGUGGCGGACGGGUGAGUAAUGCAUCGGGAUCUACCCUGACGUGGGGGAUAACCUCGGGAAACCGGGACUAAUACCGCAUACGUCCUACGGGAGAAAGCGGGGGACCUUUUAGGCCUCGCGCGGCAGGACGAACCGAUGUGCGAUUAGCUAGUUGGCGGGGUAAUGGCCCACCAAGGCGACGAUCGCUAGCUGGUCUGAGAGGAUGAUCAGCCACAUUGGGACUGAGACACGGCCCAAACUCCUACGGGAGGCAGCAGUGGGGAAUAUUGGACAAUGGGGGCAACCCUGAAUCCAGCCAUGCCGCGUGAGUGAUGAAGGCCUUAGGGUUGUAAAGCUCUUUCACCGGGGAAGAUAAAUGACGGUACCCGGAGAAGAAGCCCCGGCUAACUUCGUGCCAGCAGCCCGGUAAGAGUCACGUCG
rnacentral:rRNA from 1 species